AUUGAACGCUGGCGGCAGGCUUAACACAUGCAAGUCGAGCGGGGGAAGGUAGCUUGCUACUGGACCUAGCGGCGGACGGGUGAGUAAUGCUUAGGAAUCUGCCUAUUAGUGGGGGACAACAUCUCGAAAGGGAUGCUAAUACCGCAUACGUCCUACGGGAGAAAGCAGGGGAUCUUCGGACCUUGCGCUAAUAGAUGAGCCUAAGUCGGAUUAGCUAGUUGGUGGGGUAAAGGCCUACCAAGGCGACGAGCUGUAGCGGGUCUGAGAGGAUGAUCCGCCACACUGGGACUGAGACACGGCCCAGACUCCUACGGGAGGCAGCAGUGGGGAAUAUUGGACAAUGGGGGGAACCCUGAUCCAGCCAUGCCGCGUGUGUGAAGAAGGCCUUAUGGUUGUAAAGCACUUUAAGCGAGGAGGAGGCUACUUUAGUUAAUACCUAGAGAUAGUGGACGUUACUCGCAGAAUAAGCACCGGCUAACUCUGUGCCAGCCGCCGCAGUAACAC
rnacentral:rRNA from 1 species